rnacentral:lncRNA from 1 species
CGCCUGUGUCUAACUAUGUCAAUAGUUGUGGAGAUGCGGUACUGCUUAAUGCUCCACUCAAAAGAACGAGGCCUGUUUUAGGCUUGAGAGACCGGAGUGCCGGGGAUUCAUUCACCCACGUUGGCGAAUACGGCUUGGAGUAUGUAAUAUCAUGGGUCGAUGGCUGUGUUAUUUUGAAUGUUAAAGAUUGUGCUACAGAGUGGCGGUUGAACGUUCACGAAUGGAAUUUUUUCUUGGAGAAUUUAUGCCCCAUGCUAGACGGCGUCCGGGGUACAUGGCAGGCGGGAACCCAUGUAUUCCAAUGGACCUUUCAGUAUGAAUCGAGGAUUCAUCGCAUGGAUGCAAACUAUCAUACGAAGAGACCACAGGAGUUCAUUUUUUUCAGACGCUGUGUUGAUACAGACGAGCUACCACAGUGCUAUGAUAUGCAUUGCGUCGGUAGCUCUCCUCUACGCACCAGUGUUUUAGAAGCUGCUGAUUAUUUUGAUAAUGUCUUUUUCAUGCAGUGGGCUGAUUUGUCUGCACUACGUGGAAUUUUUGCAGAGAUUGAUUCUAUGGCUAAGACGAAUGAAGAACCAUGGAGCACAGCUGAUGAUGAAUGCCGAAUGUGCCUGUUUGAGUCGUCUGGGUUUGAUGAGGGGGUACAUGGUCAAUGAUGAACAUGUGCAAGGUGGGGGUGUGGCUAUGGAGACUGCUGAUUUAAAGGCUGUACAACCCGGACCCCACUGGCUUCAAGAGUAUGCCAUCUAUCUGAGCGGAUUGAAUCUGACCUUCCUACACGUCGGAGAGGACAGUGAGCUGGAGGUGGACACUGCUAUGAGAGACGACGGAUGGCCUGUAUCAAUACAGAUCCGUUUAAACCCUGCAUCGCUGGCUGUUCUGCGAUUUACCACGGGGCUCUGUGUGGUGGCCAUCAUCAACCAUCAGAAGCAAGCGGACUGCUGGGGAUGCCAGUGUGAUUGCCCAAGUCAAACCAAAGCCUGCUGGUGGGUGGCGUUUAUAAUGGGGGUGUUGUUUUCAUAUGCGUAUGAUGCGGAUAGCAAGUAUGUAUCAGAUAGACUAUCCGUUUUGAUGUAUGCUGCCAUAGAAAAUGAUACAUAUGUCCAGCAUAAUGCUUAUAUCAAAUGCACGUAUAAGGGUUGGAAUGAUCUGGUCAUGAAAUUCUUGUAUGAUAAACCUACUGAUCAAAUGUUAGCUGAAAUAUUUACCCAUUUCCCCGAUGGUGACUGUUUUACCAUCGGACAUGUCAUGUGUAUAUGUGCUUUUGUAUCGGAUGUCUUGAAGUUGAAUAAUGCCUCAAACGCCGAGGGUAUUAGAACUGCUAGAAUGAUGGCUUGUAAAAUGGUGCAGAAAAAUAAAACUGCCU